rnacentral:lncRNA from 1 species
GCACGUCGCCCGCGAGGGGGGUGGCGGGCCCAGGAGGAGGGGACCCCGACAGCCCCUCACCGCCUGCCGGGGCGGGCCGCCACGCUGGACGGGGGCAGCGCGGGGCGGGGUCGGGGGGCGGCAGAAGGCGCCUUUGUGCGUCGCGUCCCCGAGCGUGUCGCGGCGGGCCCGGCACCGGCCCCGCUCCAGCGCCCGCCCCCGGCCCGCGCCCCGGGCCCCGCGCGCAUACCUGGCGAGGCCACGAGGGGAUUCUGCGGGCCGAGCCCCGCCUGGGCUGCGCCGCCGCAGGCGGGAGAGGCUGAGGAUUCUUUUGGGAAGCCCCUCCGCCGGCUGUAACCCCAGGGCCGUGCCACCCUCCUGAUCACCGCAAGCAUGGACCCCCCAGCACGCUGCGGGUGGGACAGGCAGGGCCCCUGUGGGGUGGCUUGACUGGCCUGGAGUUGGGGACGAAGUCCCCGGGCUUGGUCCCCCGAGGGCUUGGUUGGGCGUCCCGGGCUGUUGUCCACACCAAGGGUGGCCUACAGAGGGAAGUGAGGACCUUGGGACUUCCUCCAGGACAGCCCUCGCUGUCCAAAUCUCCACCUGCUGCAGAGCUGCCUCCAGUCAAGCCCUUGUUUCCAGCUUUCUGUGCCCUAAAUAAACUUCUGCUGGGAUUGAGCCAUCAGCAUUCUGUGGUGGGCGUCGCUGCUGCGAGGUUGCCCUCGUGCACACAAGCUCCUCACAGGACUUCCAGGAUGAUAUGGAAGAGUGACUGAGAGCAGCCGCCCGGUGCUUCCCAACCUUAGAGGGAGGUCACGGGCAGUCUCCCUGCGAUGCUGGCCACAGGGUCUCGCUGUGUCGCCCAGGCUGGAGGGCAGUGGUGUGAUCUGGACUCACUGCAGCCUCGACCUGUUGGGCUCAAGUGAUCCUCUCACGUCAGCCUCCAAGUAGCCAAGACCACAGGCAGGCGUCACCAUGCCCAGCCCCCAUGAUGACUUUACUUUUCUUCUUGAACCUGGUGAAUUUCUGUGUUAACAUGUCUGAUUUGAACCCUUCUGAUAUUCCUGAGAUAAACUUUAUGUGACCUUGGUAUUCUGUUGGAUUUUGGUUAGCUGAUACUUCAAGAUUUUUAUAAAACUGGGUUGCAAUUUAUUUGUGUUCCCGUUUCUAGCUGUCUAUGAGCUUCAUCAAAUGGGCAGGACCACUUUCCCUUAACUUCUCCUUUUCUGGAACAACGGACAUAUCCUGUGGAUUAUCUGUUCCCCACAGGUUUGGGAUAUGGGUGCUGUGAAUGCCACUGUGCUGGGGGCUUUGGGAAGUGUGUGUUUGUUUUCGUGCGUGUGCGGUGGGAUACAGGUGUGGUUACUACUUUGAUUUCUUUCUUUCUUUUUUUUUUUUUUUUUUUUGAGAUGGAGUCUCACUCUGUUGCCCAGGCUGAAGUGCAAUGGCGCGAUCAUGACUCACUGCAACCUCCGCCUCCUGGGUUCAAGCGACUCUCCUGCCUCAGCCUCCAGAGUUGCUGGGAUUACAGGCACCCACAACCAUACCCUAAAUUUUGUACUUUUAGUAAAGAUGGGGUUUCACCAUUUGGCCAGGCUUGUCUUGAACUCCCAAUUACCAAUUUCUUAUGUGUCCUUUUGAAGACUUUCUAAGUACGACCAACCUAGUAAAGUGAGUCACCCACCACUGUUUUGUUUGUUUUUGUUUGUUUGUUUGUUUUUUAGAAUGGGGUUUCACCUUGUUGCCCAGGCUAGUCUUGAACUCUUGGGCUCCAGCAAUCUACCCUCCUCAGCUUCCCAAAGUGCUGGGAUUAUAGGCAUGAGCCACCAUGCCUGGCCCCACCACUCAUUCUUAACCUCUUCUUCUUUGCCUUUCUCUGUUGCAGAGUCCUGGAAGUUAAAUGCUCUAUUUCCCAGCCUCCCUUGCAGCUAGGAGCAGUCAUGUGACUCCAUUCUGGCCAACGAGAUACAAGAAACACUUGCUGACAGGUGCAAUCAGAAAGCGUUUGCUUUUCCAGUAACAUGUAGGACCAGUCACCUUUUUGCAUUUCCCCUUUCUUCUUGAUUCGAACAUUGCAUUGCCGUCAUGUUUGGAGAUGAGUCAGCCAUCUUGCAAAUAGGAGGCAGCAAGACUGAGGGAAAUGCCAUCCUGCUUCAGAGGGCAGAAUGGAAAGAGAAGCCUAAGAUGGCAAUGGUACGGUUGGGCAGCUGAGUCAGGACUGGGGCCACUGCCUCUCGGUUUCAAGGGAGAAAAAUAAACCCCUGUUUGUUGGCCUCAUGCUAGGUUGGAUUUUCUUUUACUUAAAGCCAAGACAUUUCUAACAUACAAAACCAGACACAUGUGCAUGCCACACGUACAUCACAAGUGAUCACAUGCUGUCCGACUAGCACCUCGAUUUUUCCACUGAACCAUCAGUCUUGCAGAUCAUCCUUUAUCAGUGCCUGGCAACUUGUCUUGCCCUUGUUUUCUUGGGUUUUUGUUUUUGUUUUUGUUUAAGACAAGGUCUCAUCUGUUGCCCAGGCUGGAGUGCAUUGGCACAAUCAUAGCUCACUACAGCCUGGACCUUCUGGGCUCAGCAGUCCUCCGUCCUCAGCCUCCCGAGUAGCUGGUACUAAAGGCAUGUGCCACCAUGCCCGG